rnacentral:rRNA from 1 species
GAAGUUUCUUCGGAAACGGAUUAGCGGCGGACGGGUGAGUAACACGUGGGCAACCUGCCUUAUAGAGAGGAAUAGCCUGCCGAAAGGGAGAUCAAUACCUCAGAAGAUUGUAGCUUAGCAGGAAGUAGCAAUUAAAGGAGUAAUCAGCUAUAAGAUGGGCCACAGGCGCAUUAGUUAGUUGGUGAGGUAUCGGCUCACCAAGGCCACACUGCGUAACCGACGAUCCAUAGCUGGUUUGAGAAGAUGAUCAGCCACACUGGGACUGAGACACGGCCCAGACUCCUACGGGAGGCAUCCGUGGGGAAUCUUAGACAAUGGGGGAAACCCUGAUCUAGCCAUGCCGCGUGAUCGAUGAAGGCCUUAGGGUUGUAAAGAUCUUUCAGUGGGGAAGAUAAUGGCUGUACCCACAGAAGAAGCCCCGGCUAACUCCGUGCCAGCCGCCGCCGUAACAC